AGAGUUUGAUCCUGGCUCAGGACGAACGCUGGCGGCGUGCCUAAUACAUGCAAGUCGAACGAAGCUUUCUUUCACCGAAUGCUCACAUUCACCGAAAGAAGCUUAGUGGCGAACGGGUGAGUAACACGUAGGCAACCUGCCCAAAAGAGGGGGAUAACACUUGGAAACAGGUGCUAAUACCGCAUAACCAUGAACACCGCAUGAUGUUCAUGUAAAAGACGGCUUUUGCUGUCACUUUUGGAUGGGCCUGCGGCGUAUUAACUUGUUGGUGGGGUAACGGCCUACCAAGGUGAUGAUACGUAGCCGAACUGAGAGGUUGAUCGGCCACAUUGGGACUGAGACACGGCCCAAACUCCUACGGGAGGCAGCAGUAGGGAAUCUUCCACAAUGGACGAAAGUCUGAUGGAGCAACGCCGCGUGAAUGAAGAAGGCCUUCGGGUCGUAAAAUUCUGUUGUCAGAGAAGAACGUGCGUGAGAGUAACUGUUCACGUAUUGACGGUAUCUGACCAGAAAGCCACGGCUAACUACGUGCCAGCAGCCGCGGUAAUACGUAGGUGGCGAGCGUUGUCCGGAUUUAUUGGGCGUAAAGGGAACGCAGGCGGUCUUUUAAGUCUGAUGUGAAAGCCUUCGGCUUAACCGAAGUAGUGCAUUGGAAACUGGAAGACUUGAGUGCAGAAGAGGAGAGUGGAACUCCAUGUGUAGCGGUGAAAUGCGUAGAUAUAUGGAAGAACACCAGUGGCGAAAGCGGCUCUCUGGUCUGUAACUGACGCUGAGGUUCGAAAGUGUGGGUAGCAAACAGGAUUAGAUACCCUGGUAGUCCACGCCCUAAACGAUGUCUACUGGUUGUUGGGGUUUUUUAACCUUGGUAACGAAGCUAACGCGUGAAGUAGACCGCCUGGGGAGUACGGUCGCAAGAUUAAAACUCAAAGGAAUUGACGGGGACCCGCACAAGCGGUGGAUGAUGUGGAUUAAUUCGAUGCAACGCGAAAAACCUUACCUAGCCUUGACAUGCCAGGAAUCCUGAAGAGAUUCGGGAGUGCCCGCAAGGGAAUCUGGACACAGGUGCUGCAUGGCUGUCGUCAGCUCGUGCCGUGAGAUGUUGGGUUAAGUCCCGCAAUGAGCGCAACCCUUGUCACUAGUUGCUACGCAAGAGCACUCUAGUGAGACUGCCGGUGACAAACCGGAGGAAGGUGGGGAUGACGUCAAGUCCUCAUGGCCCUUAUGGCUAGGGCCUCACACGUCAUACAAUGGUCGGAACAGAGGGCAGCGAAGCCGCGAGGUGGAGCAAAUCCCAGAAAACCGAUCGUAGUCCGGAUUGCAGUCUGCAACUCGACUGCAUGAAGUCGGAAUCGCUAGUAAUCGCGGAUCAGCAUGCCGCGGUGAAUACGUUCCCGGGUCUUGUACACACCGCCCGUCACACCAUGGGAGUGGGGUUCACCAGAAGACGUUUGUUUAACCGCAAGGAGGACGGCGUCCACGGUGGGCUUCAUGACUGGGGUGAAGUCGUAACAAGGUA
rnacentral:rRNA from 1 species